CGCCGUCUUUCUAAACACAGAGCUCCAAUGUCACCGAACCUGACGGGGCGGUGCGCCGGGAUCCCCCACAGGGGCCCGCCUUUUGCGGGAGCUCUGCCACCGGGAGCAGCUUCCCCGGGAAACCCCCGCGGGUGACCGGGAUGGGCGCACAGGGAUUCACCUGUGCUGGGCCGUGCCCCGGCAAGCCCCGAGUCCGGGAUGUGUUGUAAUUUUAGAGUUUGCUGAUGAGCUCGCCUGUGCGCCCUGCGCACCCCGUGUGCCUGGGGAUUGGCACUCAGGCUGGUAAUCCUGCUAACCUGGCCUUGGCAGGCGGGCACGGCUUCUCUCGGUGUUCUGGGAGUGAGAUCUGGCUUCUUGCUACGCACAGGGCAUGACCGUGGAUGAGUAAAAUGAGGGAGAAAAAGAUCUUUGCUAAUAAUUCUUUUCCAUUCUGCCUUGGUGAUGGCUCUCUACAUGCUUCCCUCUGCUACCUCAGGUGGGGCCUGUCAGCUGUGGGAUCCAAGGUUUGCUGGGGGAGUAGUGAUAAAACUUUUAACUUCCAGUAAGAAGCACCUCUCUGACAGUUAUUUAAAGCCUCUGUUUGCAUUGUUCCAGAACCAUUUCCUUUUUCCUCUAAGCAACCUAGCAUAGGAAGCUGACAAUCCCUCAGGUAGCCGGGUUCCACCUCGCUGGAGGCCUCGCCUGGUGCUGGCUUGGAGGCCAGCAGACCCCAGAGGGUGAGACAGGGCUCCUCCUUCCUGCCCUUUGUGGAGCUGGCCAAAGAUAACACUGCUGGGCUGGUCCCGGGCAGCACAGGCAUGGCCCGUGGUGUCCUUACUCACACAUUCCACUUUCAGGUCAAGAAGAUUGGCGUUGAUGAGGCUGUAAAAUGGAUGUGCUUGCUGGGGACAUCCUUCUCUACCCUUUGAAGUGUUCAGAAGCAUUCCCACUGGUUUCAGUGGAAAAGCUCCUUUGUCUGAUGUGCUUUUCUAUGUGCCAGUCAGUAUUUUGUGCUGACUGGAAGGGAAAAGACAAGGCGCUCCUUUAUGAUGGAUGAUUUUAGACCAGGGCAUUUUAAACAGUACAUGCAAUUUGCAGAGCAGUAUUCUGUAGUUGUUUGUCAGUUUGUUUUUAAGAACCAAUCCAGCAUCUUAGAUAUUGCAAUGGCUAAAAAUGAACAUAAGAGAUACCUAGUUAUGACUGCAAACUUUGCACUGUGAGAGCAGGAAUUAUUCCUGUGGUAACAAAUAUGGCCUGCAGAGCAACAGAAAUGAGCUGAAAGCAAGAUGUUGAAAUCAAAUUGUAGGCCAGGUUUUUUGCCAGUGUCCUUCGCAGUGCCAAUGGGCACCUAGAGUGCAGCAUUAUGUGAUCACUUCCAUUUGGAGCCCUUCUCAGUUGAGCAGGGAAUCACUUUCCAAAAGUAGUUUUCCUGCCAACAGGGUUUGUUUGCUUGGUGAUAAGAAACAAUGGUCAACUCAGUUUGUUACUUGAGCGUUUUAGUGACUGAGGAGUCUGGCAUCCUGUACUAGAUCCAUUUUCUUAGCUACUCAAAUGCCAGCUUGGCAGCCUACCUAGGAAGCUGAUAGUGCUGGGACAGGCGUGAUUGUGGAGGUUGUUUUCAAUAGUUUCUAGUAAGUCUGUUUUUAAGACACCUCCUUCCUUUUUUCCUGUUCCCAGGAAAAAAAAUUGUAAUUACCACCUUCAUGACUGGGAGGUCUGGAUAAGAGAGAGGAGGGAGGCAUGGGCAUGCAGUUUAAUAUCCUUCUUUUUGAAGUGCCUUAAAAAUAGGACUGGGUUUAGUUUUGAGCAAGGCUGGUAUUUAUUCACUAGAAUGGUGUUGGCUAUAGUUAAGAGGAAGGAAAACCAUUUCAUAGAGGACCUUAAUUUCCCUUGUUUUGUUAGCAGAAAAACAAGAAGAAAAAAUGUGAAUUUUCCAGUUAUAGAUGAGGGAUCCAAUCUCUUCUGCUAAAGAAAGCAUAGUUAUACCCCAUUUUUUGACCACUUUAGGGUCGGCACGUGCUCAAGCACCCAUUCAUUUCUCUCAGGGGCCUCUCCAGUUGCCAGGAAUAGCUGGGAAGCAGUUUGCCAUCUGGGAAAAGCACUGUGCACUGGCAAUGGCACUGUGCUGAGGCAGUGCUUUAUCUUGGUGUCUGAACAAGUCAGAACCAGACUGUCCCUGUGCCCAGGUCUCAAGUUGUGUCCCCAUGAAGCAUCCCGGAGUCCUGAGACUUGACCUUGGGAUGAAACCCAGCGUUAUUUGAGAAGGCGUAAGCGUGGUAUCCAUGGAGAGGACAACGCGCUCUAGAUACUCCGAGUGCAGCAGACAGCAGAGAUGUGCAUUGCUGGAAUCCAGAGCGUUUCGUAAUUUGGCAACUGCUUGCUGAAAGCCCUGCAGAUACAAAACAACACUUAUUUCAAGUCUUGAGAAACAUCUCCUACUAAGUAGAAGAAAAAAGCAUGUAGUGGGAUCCUCAAGAUGUAUGCAAAAGGCAAGGAGACAUGACUCGAAAUGCAUUAUCCAAGGGACACAGAAGCAGCUUUUUGACAGGCUGCUGCUCUUCCUGCUAACACCUGGUGAAAUGCAGAGACCUGGCUCCACGAAAUACAACCCUGGCUCCAGCACUCAAUCCCUGCUGGCACUCCAAAGAGGAAGAGAAAAAAGCAGAGCUGCAGCUAUUGACACCAACAGGCAGCAGAGCUUGCAGCAGUGACGGGCUGUAAUCCCAAGGAACACUGCCUGUGCCUGUGGCCUGGGUUAACCUGCUGGCAGUGAUACGUGCCUGGGCAGGGGCAGCUGUUUCUCACAGCUCAGCAUGGACGUGCUGCCACUCCCAGCUGCUUUUAGGACACAGGUGAGUUGUUUACAGCAAUCUCAAAAAAACUUGGAAUAAAGUUGUUCUGCCUUCCUGGAGCCAACACUCCCAGAGACCUUUCCCCUUCCUUGGUUACUGCGGGAGCCUCCUUCCUUCGGCUUUACAGCUUUAUCAGCUAAAAAUGACACAGUUAAGAACUGGUUGUGGUCAGGGUCUGUCUCAGAAGGAGAGGCUACACUGCCACUCUGUUGUGGCUGCUGAGAACGGGAAGAUCAGAGAGGACAACAGGGAAGUGGAAGCCUGCCUCUCUUUAAUGUGGAAUGGAGUCAGGAUGUGCCCUUGUACGAAGUUCAGCAGAGAAGAACUUGGGCUGCACUCGCAUUCCUACCCACCGUGCCAUUCCAGUCAGCCUGGUCCUAAUCUCCACGGAUCUCUGAAGGCAUGAAACAACACGCAGUGUAAAUGAAAUCCGAGCCACACCACAGCACUGGUGCCAGCCAGUUUUAGAAGCCUGCCAGGAGAGCCAAGGGAAACAGGUACAAUGGUGGAAGAUGCCUUGUACCACCUGCAGGCACAGACCUACAGCACUCGUGAGGCAUGUGAAAAGCUGGUGAACCCAGGGCCACUUUGACUUGAAUGCACUUUCCUGGGGAGGAAGUAGCUUUUCCCUUGGAAAGCUCAACUCCCCAGGGUCUGCAUGAGGUCAAUGGAAAAAGUGAUUUCUUCAGAAUAUGAUUCAGAGUGCCUAAGCACAGGGCUUAUCUUAUUGACUACAGAGGAAGCUCAACCUCUGUAGAUUUGAACUCACUUUUGAGAAUAUUCAUCCCCUCUUGCCCCUUAGUCGUGGGAGUUAUACUAGACCUGGAUGUGGUUUGUCCUUGGAAGGCACACUACCUACUGAAAUUCAGGUGCUGCAGACCAAAGCUAAGAGAAGCUUGUCUACCAGAGCACAGAGUGUCCUGUUGGAUCCUGCUUUGUCCUUUUGAGUUAUCCUGAGAUGUCAGAAAUGGAUUUGCAAGUACCAGAAAAGAAAAUUAAAUCAAGACAGGUUGGUUUCUUCAUGGUUGUCCUGACUGGAGCUGGAAUAAUCAGCAUCUGUUUCAGUUUAACUGAGUUUUCAUUCUGGCCUUUCUCCUCUUUCAAAGUACAGGCAACUGAAGCCUUUAAUUUGCCCUGUCUUUCACUGCAGAGAAAAGUAAGAGUUUCUAACAGCUGCUACUAUCCUGUCUAGAAUAGCUACACUAAAAAAAUGCAGUUUAUUGUCCGUUGUGAAUGAAAAAGCUCUUGCUUGUUUCUGUUGUUUGUCAUGUUGACUUUGAAAGAUAAAUUGUUUGAACUGAUUGACCCUCCAUUUGUGUAAUUGAAGAUUAGCUUGCUUGAUAGCCUGCUGGAUUUGCAGUUUUCCCUUGCACUAAACAAACUGAGGAACUGCUGGCCUUGGGGCAGUAAGGACAGCACAUACUGGAAAAAGUUUGUGUGCAUACUGGUAAAUAAGAAAAUAACUUCAUGCAUGACAUUUUGGAUGUGCUGCUUCAGUGCUGAUAUGUCCUGUCUUUCCACCUGGAAGAGCUCUUGUAAGACCUAGGAAGCCUGUUUAAAAAAUUGCUAAAAGGUAUGAUUAGGUGCCUAAUGAGUUGAAAGUAGAAGGUGGCGGGACCAGAAUUAGUUUUUACAUGGUAGUUCUAAAAUCCUAAAUCAUUGCUUGUUUUUGAGAACAUAGGUACCCUGUCCUUUUAUCAUACAAUAGCUUUGUAAAAACAAUUGGACAAAAAAGCAAAAAUAACUUCUUGCCACUCAAAUAAGCAGACCUGGCUCUGAAUAUAUAAAAGGAAGUGACAGUAAAAAUAGCAACAUCUUAACUGUGCUGUAGUCCUUCAAGAGAGAACCACAUUUUGAGGUUCCCCUCUUUGCAUCCUUCUUUGUAUUGCAAAGGCAUCUUGCCCCAAGCAGAAGCUUUUUCUCUGGGGGCUCGGAGUCUGAUUUCAAUGGGACAGAGCUUGGUGUCAGCCAGUGCAUUGAGUAUCACCUUUUAGACAUUGACAAGGGCUCUGAGUCUCCAUGUGCAUCCUCCAGCUUUGGUUUCUGUGCCUUCCUCUCUCCCCUUCUGCCAAGUGGUCCAACCUUCCCAGUUUUUGUCUACUCAUAAUCAAGGCAGUGGAGCCAAGGUGCCAUUAGAGGGGAAGACAGAAGUGAAUGACAAAGGCAUACACUGUUUCCAUGAUAGGUGUGGUGCUCACAAAAUUAGGUGGGAUUUGUUGUGCCAUCAGCCUUCAAAACAUGCUUCUCUCCCCCAGAAUAUCUAAACCCCUUGCAACCGUUGGCCAAGAGACUGAAACCACACUUCUGGUAAACUGACAAAUCAAGGGAAAGGAAUAAGAUAUGACAGGAAGGUCUGGAUAGAUUGAGGUGUAGAUGAGAGGAAGGUAAAACCCCGUGUGAAAUUUUGAGAUUUGAGACAUGAUAGUGGGAGACUGAGACACAGACACAGAGAAACAGCAACUGUGAACUGGAGUUUUAUGUUGAGACUGGUUGGCAAGGAACUGGCAGACAGAAGACACAACAGAACUUCAGCACAAAGAGAGAAGAAGGAAGAGAGUGGAAAGUCAGAGGGAUAGGCAGUGACAUGAAGAACCAGACAAGAGACUGGACUAGGACCUGGCACAGGGAACCAAAGUUGGAGGCCCUGUUGGAGAUUAGGAAAGGAAGGACAGUCUGAGGAAGGAACAGGUGAUCCCAGUCUGAGAGUGGAGGUCGGGCACAGGCAGCAGGGAGGCCACGGAGCAGCAGGGGAGAGCUGUGGGAAGCAGCCCCACACAGGGCAGAGCAGAGGGGGAUGUGGGUGGAAAGGGGCACAACGGGCUGUGCUUGCUGGGACAUCCUGACUUGCAGAGCUGGAAGCAGAACAGAGCUUCCCUGAGGCUGGUCUUCAUGUUGGCUCAGCCAGCAAAGAAUUUGCCUCUUGUGCUGUCUGCCCCAGCAGCAGAACAGAAACGACUGGAGCUGAGUGUCCUUGGCCGAGGCAGCAGCAGCUGCCUGCCUGGGGGAGGAGAGCAGGCUUUUGGGUAGUUGGAUGACAAAAAUUCUACAGUUGGGAGGAGGUAGUGAAAAGGCCACAUGACUGAGGGAGAAAGGGUCAAUUCAUUAGUCUGGCAGCCACUAAAUGAAGAAAAGGCAAGUGGGACUAUAUAUCAGAGGUAUCUGAAUUCGGUCAAAGAUGCUUCUGAAGUUGCUACAUUGAUCUUGUGGUUGGCUUAAGCAAGCUUAACUAAUUAAUUGCUUUAUUUUAGUUCAUUGUGUAAGAGCUAGCUCCUAAUAAAUCACACUGUUUUGUAGAAACAUGCUUGAAACAACUGUGUAAAUACUAAAUAGCCUUAGGAAUGGUCUUAUGAAUCCACUGAAUAAUCCAAAUUCCAACACUCAUCCCCCUCUGCUGCUGGUCUGGCUGGAGGAUAACAGUCCACUGCUGCUGUUUC